rnacentral:rRNA from 1 species
UAGGGAAUCUUCCACAAUGGGCGAAAGCCUGAUGGAGCAACGCCGCGUGUGUGAUGAAGGGUUCCGGCUCGUAAAACACUGUUGUAAGAGAAGAAUGACAUUGAGAGUAACUGUUCAAUGUGUGACGGUAUCUUACCAGAAAGGGACGGCUAAAUACGCGCCAG